rnacentral:rRNA from 1 species
UGCCAGCAGCCGCGGUAAUACGGAGGGUCCAAGCGUUAAUCGGAAUUACUGGGCGUAAAGCGCGCGUAGGCGGUUUGUCAAGUUGGAUGUGAAAUCCCUGGGCUCAACCUAGGAACUGCAUUCAAAACUUAUAGACUAGAGUACGAUAGAGGAGGGUAGAAUUCCUGGUGUAGCGGUGAAAUGCGUAGAUAUCAGGAGGAAUACCAAUGGCGAAGGCAACUCUCUGGAUCGACACUGACGCUGAGAUGCGUAAGCGCGGGUAUAAAACCGCAUUAGCUG